rnacentral:rRNA from 1 species
AGAGUUUGAUCCUGGCUCAGAACGAACGCUGGCGGCGUGCUUAACACAUGCAAGUCGAACGCGAAAAUUUUCCUCGGAAAGUGAGUAGAGUGGCGCACGGGUGAGUAACGCGUAAGUUAUCUACCUCGGCAUUCGGAAUAACUCACCGAAAGGUGUGCUAAUACCGGAUACGUUGAGUAAUCAAGAAAGGUGGCCUCUGAAUAUGCUACUGUGCUGAGAUGAGCUUGCGUACCAUUAGCUAGUUGGUAGGGUAAUGGCCUACCAAGGCAACGAUGGUUAGCGGGUCUGAGAGGAUGAUCCGCCACACUGGAACUGAAACACGGACCAGACUCCUACGGGAGGCAGCAGUGAGGAAUAUUGCGCAAUGGGGGAAACCCUGACGCAGCGACGCCGCGUGGAUGAUGAAGGCCUUCGGGUCGUAAAAUCCUGUCAAGUGGAAAGAAAUGCAUGGUGGCUAAUACCUGCCAUGUUUGACGGUACCACUGAAGGAAGCACCGGCUAACUCCGUGCCAGCAGCCGCGGUAAUACGGAGGAUGCAAGCGUUAUCCGGAUUCAUUGGGUUUAAAGGGUGCGUAGGCGGCUUUUUAAGUCAGUGGUGAAAUCUUGCCGCUUAACGGUAAAAUUGCCAUUGAUACUGAUAAGCUUGAGUACAAUUGAGGUAAGCGGAAUGUGUAGUGUAGCGGUGAAAUGCUUAGAUAUUACACAGAACACCGAUUGCGAAGGCAGCUUACUAAACUGUUACUGACGCUGAUGCACGAAAGCGUGGGGAGCGAACAGGAUUAGAUACCCUGGUAGUCC